UUUUUCCUCUCCCUUAUUUCUCUUGUUUUCUUCUAUCUUUCACCAUUUCUCUUACUCCUUUCAAAAUUCCAAACCACACAAACUCUUUUUCUUCUUUUUUUUUCAAAGGUAUGUAUUAAAUUUAUUUUAUUUAAUUUUUCUACAAUGUGUGAUUUUGAUCUUAUUUUCUUUUUAUUACAUUGUUUGAUUUUUAUCUUAUUUCCCGUAUUUCUUUUGUUAAUCAAGGAUAAGGCUCAAAAAG
rnacentral:lncRNA from 1 species